GAUGAACGCUGGCGGCGUGCCUAAUACAUGCAAGUCGAGCGAACAGACGAGGAGCUUGCUCCUCUGACGUUAGCGGCGGACGGGUGAGUAACACGUGGAUAACCUACCUAUAAGACUGGGAUAACUUCGGGAAACCGGAGCUAAUACCGGAUAACAUGUUGAACCGCAUGGUUCAACAGUGAAAGACGGUCUUGCUGUCACUUAUAGAUGGAUCCGCGCCGCAUUAGCUAGUUGGUAAGGUAACGGCUUACCAAGGCAACGAUGCGUAGCCGACCUGAGAGGGUGAUCGGCCACACUGGAACUGAGACACGGUCCAGACUCCUACGGGAGGCAGCAGUAGGGAAUCUUCCGCAAUGGGCGAAAGCCUGACGGAGCAACGCCGCGUGAGUGAAGAAGGUCUUCGGAUCGUAAAACUCUGUUAUUAGGGAAGAACAAAUGUGUAAGUAAUUAUGCACGUCUUGACGGUACCUAAUCAGAAAGCCACGGCUAACUACGUG
rnacentral:rRNA from 1 species